rfam:Tupaia chinensis contig4677, whole genome shotgun sequence.
AAGCUUACCUGACAGGGACGAUACCAUUAUCAUGAAGGUGGUUGUUCCCAGGAUGAAACUUAUCCAUUGCAGUUCAGAUGUGCAGACCCUUGUAAUUUCCUCAACGUGGGGAACUCAACUGCAUGAUUCAUGGUAGUGUGGAACUGCAUUUGCGCUUUCCCCGA